CUGUCCAUUUCUCUUCCCAAAAAGAAAAUGGCCGGCCUCCUCCUGAAGAGACGUCCACCCAGCCUAAUUCACCCUCAAAAAUCCCUCAAAUUAUUGACUGUUCAGCCCUUCAUCGACUCCUUUGUCAGUUUAACUAUAAACAAAUCCCCCCGAAGUCAACGACAGGAAAAGUGAAACGAAAAAAACUCAAAAUGGAGGACUGAGUGUACGAAAUUGCAGAAAUGAUCGCUGCGUGAGGCCGGAUCAUCAUCCAUCUUCACCGAGGAAAUCAUUUACACUCGAGUACGUUCAAUUUACAUAUUAUUCUUCAUACGUGACCUACCGUGCUCGAAUAAUUCGUGUUUUGGGAGCAAGUGGAGCUUGGCCAUGACCAGCUAGGUAAGCAACGAUUAAUUGAGGGUUUGUCAAUCCGAAUGCAUUCCUUUACCUCCUAAUCGUUGUAAGGGGUGUUCGAAAGUGUUUAGCAUUGUUGUUGUGUUCAGUUAAUUAUAAAAAAAAUAAAGAAGAGGCAGCAGAGGGACGGCGAUGCCAGUGUUUGGAAGGUGAUGCAGUUGGAGGCUAUUCCCAGGCAUUUUUGGAGCUUAGAGGAUCUCUGGGGGUAGUAAAUUCACCAGUGCAAGGGCAUGACGACCUUAUUUGCAUGGAAUUACAUUUUUAGAUGCCGUGAAAAUGACUCCACUGCCCUGGAGUCGUCCCCAGUCUGUCAAGGAAAUCAGCCCGUGGAGCUCUUCGAUCUCAUGGGAAAAAUAGCAGUCAUCAGUGAGGGGUUAACUAAUGAAUUUAUUUUGAAGAAUAUUCACUGCAGGAUGUGCCAAUAAGAGUAUCAACCUUA